AACGAACGCUGGCGGCAUGCCUAACACAUGCAAGUCGAACGAGACCUUCGGGUCUAGUGGCGCACGGGUGCGUAACGCGUGGGAACCUGCCCUUAGGUUCGGAAUAACUCCCCGAAAGGGGUGCUAAUACCGGAUAAUGUCUUCGGACCAAAGAUUUAUCGCCUUUGGAUGGGCCCGCGUUGGAUUAGCUAGUUGGUAGGGUAAAAGCCUACCAAGGCGACGAUCCAUAGCUGGUCUGUGAGGAUGAUCAGCCACACUGGGACUGAGACACGGCCCAGACUCCUACGGGAGGCAGCAGUGGGGAAUAUUGGACAAUGGGCGAAAGCCUGAUCCAGCAAUGCCGCGUGAGUGAUGAAGGCCUUAGGGUUGUAAAGCUCUUUUACCCGGGAUGAUAAUGACAGUACCGGGAGAAUAAGCUCCGGCUAACUCCGUG
rnacentral:rRNA from 1 species